rnacentral:lncRNA from 1 species
CCAGUUUGAAAGUCUUCAUAACUCUUUUCCUUAAAAAUAUUUCUCGCCUCUCCCUCUCCCCCUCCCCCUCCCCCUCUCCCUCUCCCCACGGUCUCCCUCUCCCUCUCUUUCCAGGGUCUCCCUCUGAUGCCCAGCCGAAGCUGGACUGUACUGCUGCCAUCUCGGCUCACUGCAACCUCCCCGCCUGAUUCUCCUGCCUCAGCCUGCAGAGUGCCUGCCAUUGCAGGCACGCGCCGCCACGCCUGACUGGUUUUCGUAUUUUUUUGGUGGAGAUGGGGUUUCGCUGUGUUGGCCGGGCUAGUCUCCAGCUCCUAACCGCGAGUGAUCCGCCAGCCUCGGCCUCCGGAGGUGCCGGGAUUGCAGACGGUGUCUGGUUCAAUCAGUGCUCAAUGGUGCCCAGGCUGGAAUGCAGUGGCGUGAUCUCGGCUCGCUACAACCUCCACCUCCCAGCCACCUGCCUUGGCCUCCCAAAGUGCCGAGAGUGCAGCCUCUGCCCGGCCGCCACCCCGUCUGGGAAGUGAGGAGCGUCUCUGCCUGGCCGCCUAUCGUCUGGGACGUGAGGAGCCCCUCUGCGUGGCUGCCCAGUCUGGAAAGUGAGGAGCGUCUCUGCCCGGUCGCCAUCCCAUCUAGGAAGUGAGGAGCGCCUCUUCCCGGCCGCCAUCCCAUCUAGGAAGUGAGGAGCAUCUCUGCCUGGCCGCCCUUCUUCUGAGAUGUGGGGAGCGCCUUUGCCCCACCGCCCUGUCUGGGAUGUGAGGAGCGCCUCUGCCAGGCCGCGACCCCGUCUGGGAGGUGAGGAGCGUCUCUGCCCAGCCGCCCCGUCUGAGAAGGGAGGAGACCCUCCGCCCGGCAACCGCCCCGUCUCAGAAGUGAGGAGCCCUUCCACCCGGCAGUCACCCCGUCUGGGACGUGAGGAGCGUCUCCGCCAGGCAGCCACCCCGUCCGGGAGGGAGGUGGGGGUCAGCCCCCACCAGGCCAGCCGCCCCGUCCGGGAGGGAGGUGGGGGGGCCAGCCCCCCGCCCGGCUAGCCGCCCCGUCUGGGAGGUGAGGGGCGCCUCUGCUCAGCCGCCCCUACUGGGAAGUGAGGAACCCCUCUACCCGGCCAGCCGCUCCGUCCGGGAGGGAGGUGGGGGGGUCAGACCGGCCAGCCGCCCCGUCCGGGAGGGAGGUGGGGGGGUCAGCCCCCCGCCCGGCCAGCCGCCUCGUCCGGGAGGUGAGGGGCGCCUCUGCCCGGCCACCCCUACUGGGAAGUGAGGAGCCCCUCUGCCCGGCCAGCCGCCCCGUCCGGGAGGGAGGUGGGGGGGUCAGCCCCCCGCCUGGCCAGCCGCCACGUCCGGGAGGGAGUUAGGGGGGUCAGCCCCCUGCCCAGCCAGCCCCCUCGUCCCGGGGGGUGAGGGGCGCCUCUGCCGGGCCGCCCCUACUGGGAAGUGAGGAGCCCCUCUGCCCGGCCAGCCGCCCCGUCCGGGAGGGAGGUGGGGGGGGUCAGCCCCCCGCCCGGCCAGCUGCCUCGUCCGGGAGGUGAGGGGCGCCUCUGCCCGGCCGCCCCUACUGGGAAGUGAGGAGCCCCUCUGCCCGGCCACCACCCCGUCUGGGAGGUGUACCCAACAGCUCAUUGAGAACCGGCCAUGAUGACAAUGGCGGUUUUGUGGAAUAGAAAGGGGGGAAAUGUGGGGAAAAGAUUGAGAAAUCGGAUGGUUGCCGUGUCUGUGUGGAAAGAAGUAGACAUGGGAGACUUUUCAUUUUGUUCUGUACUAAGAAAAAUUCUUCUGCCUUGGGAUCCUGUUGAUCUGUGACCUUACCUCCAACCCUGUGCUCUCUGAAACAGGUGCUGUGUCCACUCAGGGUUAAAUGGAUUAAGGGUGGUGCAAGAUGUGCUUUGUUAAACAGAUGCUUGAAGGCAGCAUGCUCGUUAAGAGUCAUCACCACUCCCUAAUCUCAAGUACCCGGGGACACAAACACUGAGGAAGGCCGCAGGGUCCUCUGCCUAGGAAAUCCAGAGACCUUUGUUCACUUGUUUAUCUGCUGACCUUCCCUCCACUAUUGUCCUAUGACCCUGCCAAAUCCCCCUCUGUGAGAAACACCCAAGAAUGAUCAAUAAAAAAAAAUAAUAAUAAUUAAAAAAAAUAUUUCUCACCUGGGCGUGGUGGCUCACGCCUGUAAUCCUAGUACUUUGGGAGGCUGAGGUAGGCAGAUCAUGAGGUCAGGAGUUCGAGACCAGACUGGCCAACAUGGUGAAACGCCGUCUCUUCCAAAAAUACAAAAAUUAGCAGGGCGUGGUGGCACACGCCUGUAGUCCCAGCUAUUCAGGCAGACAGCUGAGGCAAUAGAAUAGCUUGAACCGGGAGGUGGAGGUUGCAGUGAGCCGAGAUUGUGCCACUGCACUCCAGCCCGGGUGACAGAGCGAGACUCUGUCUCAAAAAAUAAAAAUAAUAAAUAAAUAAAAUUCCCAUUUUUUGAUCAAAUGAAAAAAAAAAUCUACAAAGUAGAAAACCCCAAAAACCAUAACACUAGAUAAUAGUUGACCACUAAUGCCUGAAAUGAUUAUCAUGAGCGAUUAUUUCUUUGGGUCUAGAAGGCCUUUGUGUAGAUGAGCGACCACUAUGACCAAUUCACUCCUUGCCUACCAUCCAGACACCUUAGCCUCACUGCCAACAAGCUAAGAGAUGCUGGCUGAGUAAGGGCCUACUCUGGCUUAUAAGGACCCCUGCAGCUCCAGUGAUUUAUAAUUCUAAGUAAACUAACACUUUAAAGAGAUGAGUCAAGAGCUGCUUGAUGGAAAAUCACUCCAGGCAAAGGAUACUGAGUGCAAAGGAAUGACGGGGGCAUACAUGGCUGGAGCAGGAUGAUGAUAUGAAUCACAGGCGAUAACAUCAAGGAGGUGGUGUGUGUGUGUGGAUGGGGAAGAGGGGACAGGAUGUGUAAACCUUUGAUAGAUUUUGGUUUUCACUCAGAGGGAAGUGGAAAGCACUUUAGUAUUUUUGUUUUCUUUUCCUUUUUUUGUUCUUGGAGCAAAAAAUGGAGUGUUGCUCUUGUUGCCCAGGCUGGAGUGCAAUGGUGCCAUCUCGGCUCACCACAACCUCCGCCUCCCAGGUUCAAGUGAUUGAACAGCCUCCCGAGUAGCUGGGAUUCCAGGUGCCCGACACCACACAUGGCUAAAUUCUUUUGUAUUUUUAGUAGAGACAGGGUUUGGCCAUGUUGGCCAGGCUGGUCUCAAACUCCUGAUCUCAGGUGAUCUGCCUGCCUCGGCCUCCCAAAGUGCUAGGAUUACAGGCAUGAGCCACUGUACCCAGCCUAAUUUUCAUUUUAUAAUUUUUUUUUUUUUUGAGACAGAGUCUUGCUCUGUUGCCCAGGCUGGAGUGCAGUGGCACAAUCUCUGGUCACUGCAACCUCCGCCUCCAGGACUCAAGCGAUUGUCCUGCCUCAGCCUCCGGAGUAGCUGGGAUUAUAAGCCUGUGCCACCACGUCUGGCUAAUUUUUAGUAGAGAUGGGGUUUCACCAUGUUGGCCAGGCUGGUCUCGAACUCCUGACCUCAAGUGAUCUGCCUGCCUUGGCUUCCCAAAGUGCUGGGAUUACAGGUGUGAGCCAGUGUGCCUGGCCAAAUAAUUUUAAUUUUUUAGAGACAGGGUCUCACUUGGUUGCUCAGGCUAGAGUGCAGUGGCACAAUCACAGCUCACUGCAGCCUGGAGCUCCUGGGCUUAAGUGAUCCCUCUGCCCAGCCACCUGCAUAGCUGGGACUAUAGGUGCAUACAACCACCCCUGGGCAAUUUUUUUGUAGAAAUAGGGUCUCAAUAUAUUGCCCAGGCUGAUCUCAAACUCCUAGGCUCAACCAAUCCUUCUGCCUUGGCCUCCCAAAUUUCUGGGAUUAUAAGCAUGAGCCACUGCACCUAGCCUGACUCCAAGACUUGAUUUGAGCAAUUGGAAGGAUGGAGUUGUAAUUUAAGGAGAGGGGGAAGACUGUGAAAAGGGCAGUGGAGGUGUAAUGAAUCAGGAAGUUAGUUUUGGACUUAUGCUUGAUAUGCCUGUAGAAACAUCCAAGGGGGGAUUUUGAAUAGCUAGAUGAAUAUGCUAUAUGUCUGGAUUGGGGAAAUCAGGAGUAGAAAUAGAAAUUUGGGAGCUGUCAACAUAUAGAUCGUAUUUAAAACCAUGGGAGUGAAUGAGGUCACCAAAGGAAUGAGUGUAUACUUUGAGAAGAAAAGAAGUCUGCUGGGCGCAGUGGCUCAUGCCUGUAAUCCCAACAGUUUGGGAAUCCAAGGUGGGAGGAUUGCUUGAGCCCAGGUGUUCAAGACCAGCCUGGGCAACAUAGUGAGAACCUGUCUCUACAAGAAAUAAAAAAGUAUUAGCCAGGCCUGGUGGUGUGUGCCUGUAGUCCCAGCUACUCAGGGCCUGAGGUGAGAGGAUUGCUUAAGCCUGGGAGGUUGAGGCUGCAGUGAGCCAUGAUCGUGCCACUGCACUCCAGCCUGGGCAGCAGAGUAAAAUCCUGUCUCAAAAAAAAAAAAAAGAAAAGAAGUCCAAAGACUAAGCUAGGGGCACUCACUCCAGAAUAUAGUGGUCAGGAGGGUAGGUGGGAACUAGCAAAGAACCCACUUCUGAGUUGCUAAUGCGACAGAUGGAGAAUCAAGAGAAGAGUGGGCCUGGAAGCCAAGUGAAUAGAGCAUUCCAGAAAGAGGGAGAAAUCAAUCGUGUCCAAUUCUACAGCUAGGCUGAGUAACUGAGAAAGGACUGAAAGAGGACCAUAGGACUUACCAUGUGGAUUUCAUUACUAACCUUGUCCAGAGUGAGUGCUCAAUGAAUCAGUGAAUAAAUGAGUGUAACUUUCUCCAACUAUAUUUGAUUAGGACCCAGUAACUUGGGACUUUGUUUCUCCAGGAAGAGUUUGACAAAUUAUUUGAAUGAAAUACCUUUUCCCUCAAUGUCUAAACUCCUCUUUGGAAUUGUAGGUGGUGGAAGAUUGCAGAAGGUUCCUAAUCUCUGGAAGCCAGGCAGUCUAGUUGCCUGUGGUCAUUUCUUUGUACUGUUCCACACAGCCAUACAAUACUCCAAUCCCUUCAGGGCGAAGGAGUCAUCAACACCUGAAAAACAAAUACUAUACUCCCAAAAUUACAGAAAAACACCUGCAAACUGACUCAAGUGAGUUUAGUUCAUUUAGUCAGGCUGGGGGAAGAAACCACAUUUUUGAGAUAAUUAACUCAUAGCAUUGUUCAAUAAAGUCUUUUAUUGGAAAUUGUGAUGAUUCAAGGCAUAUUCCCAUAAAAUACAGUGAAAAUUUAAAUCGAAAGCAGCUGGACCCUGAUGUAUUGUUCUCUGAAAGAGGAAGAUUCCACCUUAAAGGCAGUCAUUCUAUAGCAGUUCCCAUUUCUUAGGUGCUUACUAUAUACCAGAAACGGUACUAAGAAGUGCUUUAUGGACAUUUAGCAAAGUGAAUCCUCACAACCACCCUACGAGAGAGGUACUAGUAUCAUUCCCAGAUGAUAGAUGUAAUAUUAAUAAGCUACAGAUGAGGAAAUGGAUGCUUGAAAAGUUUGAAGGGACAUCUUAGGAAUCAGUUAUCUCCCCUGGGGAGGGACCUUCAGGAAUGGCCUGAUCCCUAUCAGGAGAGCUGUCCGCUGUUCAGGAUGUCAAAGGUUCCUGUUCUGCUUCUAGAAGUCAGCUUUUCCUGGGAGGAAAAGUGGGCAUGGGCUGAGGUGAGAGCUGGGGUGCAGGUGGAGUAUGAAGACUCCUCAGAGAAAGGAAAUAAACAAAAAAUAUUUAUUGAGCUUCUACCAUGUAUCAAACCCAGUCACUAGUCACUAUUUUAUCCUCAGACAGACACCUAUAAACCUUUAAACCACGUGUGUGUGUAUAUAUAUAUAUAUUAUAAGAAAGCUUAGAGAGGAUAAGUAAACUUGGGAUCACACAGAUGUCAACAAGGGGAGAAGCCUGUCCGGGUGUGGUGGCUCAUUCCUGUAAUCCCAGCACUUUGGGAGGCUGAGUGGGGAGGAUCACAUGAAGCCAGGAGUUCCAGACCAGACUGGACAAGAUAGGGAGACCCCACUUCUAUUUUCUAAUAGAAAUUAAAAUAAAAAAUAAAGAAAAUUUCUUUAUACAUUGAGCUGAAAUUAAACCCCACUGUGGCUUCCACCAAUUUUUGCUCUCUGGAGCAACUCAAAACACAUCUAAAUCCUCUUCUACAAGCGAAUCCUUUAAAUAUUUGAAAAUACCUAUGUCUCUCUUCUGUGCUCUUCUGGUACCAAUAGUUUAAAUGGGUAACAGUAGACUUUGUUUUAUUCAAUCUUUUAAAAAGCAAAUAAAAAGUAAGACAUGCUGGGUGCGGUGGCUCAC